rnacentral:rRNA from 1 species
GACGAACGCUGGCGGCGUGCUUAACACAUGCAAGUCGAACGGAAAGGCCCUGCUUUUGUGGGGUGCUCGAGUGGCGAACGGGUGAGUAACACGUGAGUAACCUGCCCUUGACUUUGGGAUAACUUCAGGAAACUGGGGCUAAUACCGGAUAGGAGCUCCUGCUGCAUGGUGGGGGUUGGAAAGUUUCGGCGGUUGGGGAUGGACGGGCGGCUUAUGAGCUUGUUGGUGGGGUAGUGGCUUACCAAGGCUUUGACGGGUAGCCGGCAUGGGAGGGUGACCGGCGACAUUGGGACUGAGAGACGGCGCAGACGCCUACGGGGGGCAGCAGUGGGGAGUAUGGUACAAUGGGCGGAAGCCUGAUGCGGCAACCCCCCGUGCGGGAUGACGGCCUGCGGGUUAAAAACCGCUUUCGCCUGUGACGAAGCGUGAGUGACGGUAAUGGGUAAAGAAGCACCGGCUAACUACGUG